AAAAAUUCAACUAAAAAAUAUUUAAAAAUAAAACAUACUAAAUCUAAUUUACGGGAUUCCUUUGAUGAUUGAUGAGUGUGUUUCAUAGUGGGUGAAGAUCAAAUGAUAGCUUCAACAGGCUAAUUUACAGGAUUCCAAAAGGCUUCGUAUAACACCUGAAACGUAGUAAACAAAAAAAUUCUAUAAAAACCUGUAUAACAAUCCUAGGCACAAAGACAUUAAACAUAUAUAAAAAAACUUUAAAAUUUAUUUCAAUACUUUAGAACACGCUAUUUACAACAGAAUACAUCCAGAAUUGAGUCAAGUCUCUCCCGGUACUUUACAACACAAGAACGGUUAUUUAUUGAGUCAAGUCUCUUCACGCGUCUUAAUCUCCAGCUGCCACGAACCUAAAAAGGACAAGAUUCAUCAUUAGUCUCUUUCCAACAGUCUUAAGCUAAAACUCUCAUUCACUAAUUCAACGUUUCUCUUCUUCUAUCACUUCAGUUUAGCUUUUGUCGUCUGCACACAAUAAGGUUGACCCUCUGCAAAGUUAUAAUAGCAUUUCUGAAUAUUAGGAAGGCCCUGGUAUACGAAAUUCAUAAAACUAUUAUCACAUUUCAGUCUCAAACCAACCGACAUCACUUGAAGUGCAAAAUUCCCACGCAUUCCCCAUAAUAAACUUAAGGAUAAAAAGUUAGUUAGACAAGUAAAGAUUCUGUUAAAGUUAGAUAUAUUGUCUCUUUUGACAUCUGCAACAUAUAGUAGUAUAUAUAGCAUUAAGUGUGCAGAAUGUAAACGAGAUUCAGUUCAAUCAAUUCAACUACAUUCAUUCACUAAUUCAACCUUUCUCUUCUUCUCUGUGGUUCACACUCUUCAUCAAGUUCUAUCACCUCAGUUUAGCUUUUGUCGUCUGCUCACACGAUAAGGCAAAGGAUGCUAGUUCAGUAGUUAGUUGGGUUUCACUGUCGGAAGGGGCCAUCAAAUUCAAUGUGGAUGGAAGUUCAAGAGGAAAUCCAGGAAGAGCAGAUGUGGCGGCUUGCUUAGAGAUCAAGAUGGCAACUGUAUCGCCGGAUUUGUCAGCUAUAUUGGCUUUGCUGAAGCGGAACUAAUAGCUAUCCGGCAUGGUUUGUGGUUGCCAUGGCAAUCUGGGUACAGAAAGGUGGAAUGUGAAAGUGAUUGCAUGGUGGCUCUGAAGAUUAUUCAUGAUAAUGCCGAAGACUUUCCAGAACUCGCACACAUUGUUGAAGAAAUUCAUCAGUUCAUGCUUCUUGACUGGGACGUCACUAUCUAUCAUAUCAUGAGGGAAGGAAAUUCAUGUGCUGAUUUUUUGGCAAAGAUCGGUUCUUCUUCAAAUUCUACGUUUUUGGUUAUGAUCAGCCCUCCGCCGGAACUCACUCUUCUUCUUCUUGCCAACUUCAAGGGUGUUCUUUAUUCUAGAGUUUAGUUAUAAAAAUUGUUGAGUUAUUUUUUAUUAUUCCUUGAAUAAUUAUCCAUGGUUGAUACUCUUUUUUCUCUAUUGGAUUUAGUCUAUAGGGAUUUUUUAAGGAGGUAUGAUCUGCAUAAGCCGAGUAUCCAUAUAGUCUAUACCAAUUUCAAUGGAACAAUGUACUAUUUAGAUGCAUCAUAUUCAAUUUCAAUGAAAUUACAAAAUUUCUGAAAAAA